AGACUUGAGAGAAAGAGAUGGGGAGCAAUUGCUCCAAAGGGAGGAGAGAAGAUAGGGACACAACCGCUUUCUCCAAAAAUAAACGUUUGUCUUGGAGAAGAAAAAAGGGGAACACUGAAGGGAGGAUCUCAGAUGACAACAGUCUCAUUGGUGGAGAAACGACCUGUCAACAAAGUCUUCCUAGCCAACAAUCCCCGUUCUCCCCAGCAUACAAUCCCCAGUUUUCCCUCACAGCUGAGGGUGGAAGCAAUCUAUGUGCCCCAGUGAUCAGCAAUAAUGAAGUAGGAGGUAGCAUCAACAUCACUCAGAACAUCACUCAGAACAUCAUUCAGAACAAAAAUGACUCCUCCCAGGUUGCACAAUGCAGUGACACACAAAAAA